UCCGGUCGCCGCCGCCGCCGCCGCCGCCGCCGCCGCCGUCUCGUAAAUACUAUCCGCUACCCCACCACGCCCCCACGAACUCCCCCUACGCUUCCCCCACCGUCCUCCCCGGCCAGCGCCGCCGCCGUCGGCCGGACCCUUCGCUACGGUUCUUACAUGUACAUGGUCGGUGAUCUCCAGGGAGGUUGAUGCUUCCAUGCUGCACUUGAAGAUUUGGUCAGCUGUUGUCGCCUUGCUGGCCCUGUUUCUCCUCUGGCUUUAGAAGGAAGCCAUGGCGGGCCGAGAGGAGAGAUAUGUGAGGUUUCAGGACUGGAGAUCAGAGCAAUCUGUUUCAGUUGUUUCAGAUAGGGUAGUUUCACAAAAAGGGCAUAAUGUCUUUGGGUUGCUAAAGGGCAGAACUGCAGGAGCCUUUUCAUUCUUAGGGAACUCUUCACAUUCCGAAACUCAAAACAAAUCAGCUUCAGAGGAAAGGAAUCGCAAAACAAGAGUUCUUGAUCCCCAAGGGCCAUUUUUGCAGAGAUGGAACAAGAUAUUUGUGAUAUCAUGUCUUUUUGCAGUUUUGUCGACCCAUUAUUCUUGUAUAUCCCGGUAAUCAAUGGUGACAAUAACUGCAUGCACUUGGACAAGAAGUUGGAAACUGCAGCAAGUAUCCUGCGCUUUUUCACAGAUAUCUUCUAUUUACUCCAUAUAAUGUUUCAGUUCAGGACGGGCUUUAUUGCUCCUUCUUCUAGAGUGUUUGGUCGGGGUGUCUUGGUUGAGGACACGUUUGCAAUAGCGAAGCGGUAUAUGUCAACAUUUUUUCUGGUUGAUUUCUUAGCUGUUCUGCCCCUCCCACAGGUAUUUGUGUUGGUUGUGCUGCCUCGUCUCGAAGGUUCUGAAAUUAUGAAGGCUAAAAUUGUAUUACUGAUUAUUAUCAUAUGUCAAUAUGUUCCUCGACUGCUCCGAAUAAUACCUCUUUACCUUCAAAUCACAAGAUCUGCUGGUAUACUUACAGAGACAGCAUGGGCUGGUGCUGCUUUCAACCUGAUAAUUUAUAUGCUUGCCAGUCAUGGCUUUGGAGCUCUUUGGUACAUGCUUUCCAUCCAACGAUUAGACUCCUGUUGGAGACAAGCAUGUAGCAAUCAUACUGGCUGUCAUCCUACAUCUUUAUAUUGUGAGACUAAUACAUUUGGAAAUAAUGCUUUCUUGCCAAUUGUUUGCUCAACAAAUGGCGAUACCAAGCCAGACCCGACGUUUGGAAUUUUUCUACCAGCUCUCCGGAAUGUUUCAAGUUCAAAGAGUUUCUUCGAGAAACUAUUCUAUUGCUUUUGGUGGGGACUACAAAAUCUAAGUUCUCUUGGUCAGAACAUGAUUACAAGCACUAAUACAUUGGAGAAUCUGUUUGCGGUUUUUGUCUCAACAUCAGGCUUGGUUCUAUUUGCACUACUUAUUGGUAAUGUGCAGACCUAUUUACAGUCAGCCUCUGUGCGUAUAGAAGAAAUGAGAAUGAAAAGGCGGGAUACAGAGCAGUGGAUGGCACAUAGGCUACUUCCUGAAAAUCUUAAGGAGCGGAUUAUGCGCCAUGAACAAUAUAGGUGGCAAGAAACAAGAGGUGUUGAUGAAGAGGGCCUUCUUGCAAAUCUUCCCAAGGAUCUUCGAAGAGAGAUAAAGAGACAUCUUUGUUUGUCUCUUCUGAUGAAGGUUCCAAUGUUUGAAAACAUGGAUGAGCAGCUCUUGGAUGCUAUGUGUGAUCGUCUAAAGCCCAUGCUGUACACGGAAGGAAGCUGCAUCAUUCGUGAAGGUGACCCAGUGAAUGAAAUGCUCUUCAUCAUGAGGGGAACACUAGAGAGUACGACAACAAAUGGUGGACAGACUGGCUUCUUCAACUCUAAUGUUCUAAAAGGUGGUGACUUCUGUGGUGAAGAGCUCCUCACAUGGGCCCUUGACCCCACUUCAGCAUCGAAUCUCCCUGGCUCAACUAGGACAGUGAAGACGCUGACUGAAGUCGAAGCUUUUGCUUUGAGGGCUGACGACUUGAAGUUUGUUGCCACCCAAUUCAGGAGGCUUCACAGCAAACAGCUCCAACAUACCUUCAGAUUCUACUCACAGCAAUGGAGAACUUGGGCCGCUUGCUUCAUACAGGCAGCGUGGCACAGAUACUGCAGAAAGAAGCUUGAAGAGACUUUGUACGAAAAGGAAAAGAGGUUGCAGGCAGCAAUCGUAUGCGACGGCACUACUUCCCUCAGUCUUGGUGCAGCGCUCUACGCUUCGCGUUUUGCGGGUAACAUGAUGCGGAUCUUGCGGAGAAAUGCCACCCGAAAGGCCCGUUUGCAGGAAAGAGUGCCUGUAAGAUUAUUACAGAAGCCAGCAGAACCCAACUUUUUUGUUGAAGAUCGGUGAUCUCGUCUUCGAGGGCACCCUGUAACAAGCGGACAUUAUUCAUGAUCCAACCGGUACAAAACUCGCGUGAUUGGAUGCUGCACAAGUGUACAUAUAGAUCAGGUGGUCUAAAGCCAUCUGGUUUGAAUCACGGAAUUCGAUGUAUCUACGAUUCUUUUAUUAUACACACCAUAUUAAAUCUGCAUACAAGAUGCAUGUAUUUAUAUUUUAUAAGCAUCCCAGAUUUUACCUCUUGUGAAUCUCGAAAACAGAAGAUGCUGUAAAUGUUACUGAUGAAAAGUUUGUUGAUUUUGAUAUGUUCUCGAUGUGAACUGUGAGAGGAAGAGGUUGAUAUGAAGUGAAAAAGGGAUCAUGAAA